AACGGCCGUACCAUGCUGAAUAUACCGGUUCUCGUUAGAUCACCGAAGUUAAGCAUUCAUUGGGCGCGGUCAGUACUUGGGUGGGUGACCACCUGGGAACAACA
rnacentral:rRNA from 1 species